rnacentral:sRNA from 1 species
GGUGGGUGACUUGUAUAUUUUUUGAGCUGUGAUAGUGUCGGAACACGCCUCAACCCAUCGAGGCCCGGUGAAAACCCCGUCUUUUUUGGCGGGGUUUUGCUUUUUU